UACGUAGGUGGCAAGCGUUGUCCGGAUUUAUUGGGUUUAAAGGGUGCGUAGGCGGCUUUGUAAGUCAGUGGUGAAAUACUCUAGCUUAACUAGAGGGGUGCCAUUGAUACUGCAGAGCUUGAGUACAGAUGAGGUAGGCGGAAUUGACGGUGUAGCGGUGAAAUGCAUAGAUAUCGUCAAGAACACCAAUAGCGAAGGCAGCUUACUGGGCUGUAACUGACGCUGAUGCACGAAAGUGUGGGGAUCAAACAGG
rnacentral:rRNA from 1 species